CACAGGGACAUACGCACAUAGACACACGCACAUCAGCACACGCACAUCGGCACAUACGCACAUCGCCACGCACCAGACAGCCAGACAUACGCACAUCGCCCCAGACACACGCAGACAUCCGCAUGCAGACAUCCGCACCCAGACGCAGACCCCCAGACAGCCGCAUCCAGACCUACGCACUUCGCCAUCGCCACCCAGAGUCCUGCGCACAUCAGACUACGCAGCUCGCCAUCCGCACCCAGACACACACUCAGCCAGACACACACACGCAGCCACCUACGCAGCCACAUACGCACCCCGGACCGGGGCUGCCGAGCCGGGGGGUGAGGAAGAGGAUGGAGAUGGAGGGUCAGUGGGCGCGGGCAAGAGGGGCAAGAGGAGCAAGCAGCAGCCCUUCGGGGGCUCCGUGAGCUACCUCCGGUUUUUAAUUGAAUGUUCUUUAAUGCUUUUAUUUUUCUUUAAUUUCUGAGCAGCUUUUUUGGUAGAUUGGUUUUCUGUGCUUAGAGAUCUCUAAUUGGAUUGCGGUGUUUAUUUCAAAAAAUGUGUAAACAGAGAUGGUUUCUUUUGGCAAAAGGUUUCUUUGUUAUAAGAAAUGAGCAGAAGGGUGAACGUCAUGAGGUGUUUAAAGGGCUAAAUGUUCUGUGAAGGAAUCCUUUAAAUUUAUUUUUAUUUUCCUGAACGUGAUAGAUCUAGAAUUAAAUUGUGGCAGCAUUCUAAUUAUAACAGAUCACUUAAAUAAUUCUCAAUUGUGUAAAUUAGGUAAAUUGAAUUUUUCCCCUCUCUUCACUGAGAUGAUCUUAGCCUUUGAGUGAUUUCAAAAAUGAAAAAAAUUGUGGUCUUUUGUUUUGGAAUGAUAUCUGGUAGCUGAAUGAAUAUUAGAAAAUGUUGUUUUAAAAUGAAAAUAUGGAUUGGUGCAGUAGUUUAUUGUUUACAGAUUAGAAAAACAUUAAUAUGUCGCCGUCGGUGGCAUUAUUUUAAGGAACUCUAAAGUAGAAAUUUGCCAAAUUUUGAUUAUCUUAGAUUUAAUUUUCUUUUUUAUGCAAAUUUAAGAUAUUUCAUGCCUCAGGUAGUGUAAAUGUAUUAUAGAUAAAAUAGAUGCAUAUUGAUCUAUGUAUAUGAUUUGGGGAAGAUUUUUUCAUAGUACCAUCAAAUAUGGGCAUGAAGCUAAAUAUUGAAUAUUAAGUAUGAGCUAAAAAUGCAUUGUAGAAUAUGAAAAUUAUAUAUUUCUUCAUGCAGACCAUUAGAAUGUUGGUUGAAAUAAUGCAUUUAUACUACUUGGAGCAUGACAGUUGUCUAGAACACCUUGGAAGGGUGUGUUGCUAAUGUAUCUGGCGGCAUUUUCUUGAAAAAUGGAAAUGUUUCUAUUUUUACAAUGUACCAAAUUUCUUUCAGAUCUAAACCUGGAACUCGAGGCUAUUUCCCAAUUUGUUUGUGUGAUGGAAUAAUUUAGGUUAAACAAUACAAUAAUCUGUUUUUCAGAAUUCACUAAUUAGUGCAGUUUUUUGGUUCGUUGUUUGGCUUUUUUUUAUUUUGUUUUGUUUUGCUUUGUUUUGUUUUUUUGCAGGCCUAUAAAGAUUCAGUGGAAAAUGAUGGUCAAAGAGGGAAAAUUAUUAACCCAUAUAACAUGUGAUGACCCAUCAAAAAUGAUGACAUCAAAAAAUUAAGUGGUCUAAAAUUUUAUAUAUAUAUAUAUAUAUGUUUUUAUAGAUAAUUAUAUAUGAGGUCUUGCACAUGAAUUAGAAUGUAUAUGAAUCCCUUAACCUUGUCAUCAUAAUAUUACUUCCCCCAGACCCCUCCCCUCUCCUUUUCACACCCAAACUCUUAGAAAAAUCUAUAUAUUCCUUGACUUGAUGUCUCUGUUUCCAUUUAGAUCUUGCAGAAUGAUUUCCAGCCACUGACUGGACUCAAAUCAUUCUCUCCUAUUUUGUCAGUGAUGCCUUUUUUUUUUUUUAAUUUUAGUGAUUUUUUUUUAAUCUAAUAGUUUCUCAUUGCCUCCAAAGGAGCUAUCCUAUAUUACAAAACGUUUUUUAAAACAAAGCACUAGGAAGAGAAAGACACUCAAAAAUUAAUUAAUCCAUUGAAAAAAUUAAAAAUAUAUGCUAUAUCCCUCAGUCAUGGACCACCGCUCUUGCAUCUUUAAAAAAAAAAAAAAGAUGAGUAAUGCUUAUUUUUUGUAAUUUGGCAACAUGAUUUCUUUAUCACUAACUUUAGUGAUCUUUUUUCAGUCCUCAUCCUUCUUCAACUGAAACUGCUCUCUAGAAUUAUCAAGGAGUUCUUAAUUGCCAAAUUUCUCCCUCCUCCUUCCCUCCCUCCCCUCCCUCCCUUUCUUGAAUUCUCUGCAGCAUACAGCAUUCUUAACCAUCAUCUCUGCCUGGAUAUUACUUCCCUUUUCUGACACUGUAUUUUUCUGAUUCUCUUCCCACCUAUCUCAGUCUCCUUUACUAUAUCAUCAUUCCUGCUUUGGUCCUUAAUUUUGAGUUUUUCAUUUCUCUUUUUCUUCCCUGCUUUCUCUUAGAUAUCUCCUUUGGGUUCAAAAAAGACAUCUAUUGCCAAUGAUUCCCAAACCCAUAUUUCAUCCUUCCUUCCUUUUUUUCCCCUCACUAUCUUCUUAGCACUCUGUUGUACAUGAAAACUUGUACAAAAUGAAUUUUAUGAUUGUUUCUCUCUACCCCACCCAAUCCACCCCUCUUCAUUCAUUUUACUACCUUUAUAGCAAAUCCACAUGAAUCCUCAAGCAUUUGGAGCAGUUCAUAUUAUGGAAGACUUUGACUGACUGCCAUGGGUUCUGAAGUAUAUGAGUCAAGUUUCCCCAAACAAGGGUACAUCUACUUCUGGGUCUUCUAGACGUACCUUUAAGGGCUUAUAAAGGUGAUUCUUUAACGUUGUUGGAUAGAUCCCCCCAUCCCCAAAGUGUUUGCUACAGUAACAGUCGUGAGGCACGCUUAAUAUUUCCUUUAUACAAUAGCUAUUCUCUAAUGAGCAUAGCAUCUUAUUGUCAUUUAACUACUUAAUUCCAAAGCACUGAUCCUCAACGCCUUAUAGAACAUUCUCCUUUCUACCACUCAGUCCCUGAGAAGAAUGGAGUCAAACUUACUAUUACAUAUACUAUAUAUUUAUAUAUAAUACGAUAUAUUAGGAAUAUAAUAAUAUCACUGUUAUUGAUAUUGGGAGAUUAAAUGAGAUAGCAUUUGUCAAGGCCUUAACCCAGUGCCUGGCAAAUAGCAGUCACGUAAUAAGGGCUUGUUUCUUCUCCUUCCCCUUCAGCGUCAUGUUGUCACUCAUUGUAAGGCAUUUGUACCACCGAGUACUUCAUGAUGCAGCAUCAGCCUUGGUAGAAGCUGAUGCCCCCUCCUUAAGUGGACUAGUCUAUGGCCUCAAAAGCCUCCAUUCUGGCCUUCCAAGCCCAGGAUGGUCAUUCUCAGACACAGCUCAUGAGCUUCCUGGCUCUUGGGACUGGUUAGACUUAACAAAUGAGCUUGUAGCUAUCUCCUGUGCUCUUGCACCUAAGGCAAUGACUAACAGAUAACAAAAGACAAUAGAAGGAGCCGUGGGACCAUCUGUUCAUUAGCCAGGGGGCAGGUGGUGAAGAUAAGGGGCCUACAACUGUAGAUCUUGCCUCGUUCUAGCACCUCGGGGAGCAAAGGCACAAGCCUGGUAAGUGUCAUUGCAAUACACCACAGUUCAUUCAACUUCACGCCGGUCUUGUCACCAUGUCCUGAGUGGACUAGCACUAGAUGUGCAUACUCCAGAGAUCACACCAGCUGCAGCAUCUCUCAUACUUACAGGAGAUUGCAAAAGAGUAUUGAAAAUGUUUUGAAUGGUGUUUGCGUCAGUAAGAUAAAAGCACACUCCAACACACACACACACACACACACACACACACACACACACACUAAUUUGGAAAGGACUGUAUGUUUGGACACAGAAAAUUCUGUUAAAGGAAGGGAUAGUCUGUGUUACGGGGACUGCUCCAUUCAGAAUAAGGAGGACAGUUUGACUUAGAGUGGAUGAAGGCAACUAAUGCAGAAACAGUGCUUGAAAGACAGCUUGGGAAAAGAGGGAAAAGGUGCUAUUCAUGUGGGAGGAGUGUUUAUUGGUUGUGUGUGUGCGCGCACACGCACGCCAGUGUGCCAGAAGCAGCAAGAAGUAAUUGGGAGCUUUGUGAGCUAGGGUCUUGACUUGGUCAGACCUGAGCUUCAGGAAUACAAUUUGGCUGCUAUUAUGUGGAGUGGGAUGAGAGGCGCUAGAGGCAGAGAGACAUGCUAAUAGCCAAUAAGCAUGUAAUAAUUGCCUACUAUGUGCCAUGUGUGGCGCUAAUAAGCACUCAGGAUAUAAAGAUCACUGUAUUCAAGGAGCACAGGAUCUAAUCAGAGAGCCCAGUCAGAUAACUGUGGACAAAAAAAAAGAAGGAUAUGAAAUUAAGAGGAGAUAAUCAACAGAUGGGAAACCUUAGCAUCAUGAGGGGAUUAAGAAGGGCUUCCAGGACUUUUAAGGAAACUAGGGAGCAGAGCUGAGAAGGGAGAAUACCCCAGGCAUGUGGGAACAGCCUGAGAAAACUCCUGGGGAGUCAGAUGAUAACCUGUCUUGUUAAAAGAACAGUGAUGAACUCUGAAUUGAAGAGUUGGGGGGGAGGCAAAAAAGGUUCCUCUGAAGUGAAUAGAGAUUAGAAAGGGGAGAGCUGGAAUAUGCAGGACUUCGAAUGCCUCAGAGAAACAGCACGUGAUAGGGAGUGGUCGGCAUUUAUUAGAUCUGAGGUUGGUGUGGUUGGAUCUGCACUUCAGGAAAAUCCCUUUGGCAGUGAACAGAGAGGAUGGACUGAUGGUUUGCAGCAAGACUUGUGGUAGGCAAUGGACAAAGCGGCAGACUAUGGGGAUAGUGGUAGCUCUCAAGAGAGAAGAGAUGUUAAAAAGGCAGCACCAUUAACUAGGUGUUAUUCAUUUUAACUAGGGCAUAUGACCCUGUGAGUAGAAGAAAAGGAGCCGUGUGUGAGAUAGAUAUACAUGACUGGAUUUAGAUAAGUGUGAGAUGCACUGUACAUAUAUACAUACAUACAUACAUACAUACAUACACACACCUUUUAUUCAUUGUUUUACUGGUCCAUUUUUAAAAAAAUGUUUUCACUGAUCCCUUUUGUAUGAACCUUGUAAUACUCAUUUAAGUGCAUUUUAGAAAUCUAAGAUAUUUUUAAAGGCAAUUGCAAAACAUCUUUAGAUCUCGUGGUUAGCAACAAGAUGAUGCAUAAUACCAUGUGAAACCUCUAAGAAUAGUAUUUUAAAAGAUCUAGGAUAUUCAGCUGCUUAGUUGUGGGAGUUGAGUGAACACUAUAAGCUCUAUUUUCUCAGACUUCAUCAGUUAAGUCUCAUGAAAGGGAGGGCUUUGGUCAGUGAAAGUUACUAGGUGAAUGACAUGAUACACCAUUUGCAAAAGGAAAUCUUUUGCUACAGGUGCUCAUUUUCCUAAGGACAUUGACAUUGCUUUCCUUCUAGAAGUAGAAAGGAAAGGAUAUCCUUUGUUUUUUUUAAUUUAAAGAAAAAAAAAAACCUUACUCAUCUGUGUUAUUUACUUUUGUCAAUUUUUAUGAAAGCAAUCACAAAUCAUAUUACAAGAAUAUAUCCAGAAUUGAAUACAAAAGAUGUGGGUAUGUAUUGUCCUCUUACAACAUCUAAGGGAGACUUUUUUCUUCUUAAUUUCUUGCCCCCACAAAUAUCUUUUGUUUAUAAAGAAAGAUUCUUUUGGUUUGAAAAAUCUAACAUGAAAAAUCUUGAUGACUUUUUUUAUUUUGCCCAUA